rnacentral:miRNA from 1 species
UAAAUCUCACCUUUCUGAGAAG